rnacentral:rRNA from 1 species
GAUAAGUGUUUAAGACAUGGAUCCGUAGCGAAAGCGAGUCUGAAUAGGGCGCUAUAGUCAGUAGUGGUAGACGCGAAACCGUGUGAUCUACCCAUGGGCAGGAUGAAGCUGUGGUAACACAUAGUGGAGGUCCGAACCGGUUGACGUUGAAAAGUCUUCGGAUGACCUGUGGGUAGGGGUGAAAGGCCAAUCAAACUCGGAAAUAGCUCGUACUCCCCGAAAUGCAUUUAGGUGCAGCG